AUAUACUUGGAGGGAAAGGGUGGGGAUGACGUCCAUAAUCAUGCGUUGCCCCCUUAUGACCUGGGGCUACACCACGUGGCUUACAAUGGACAGAACAAAAGGGGCAGCGAAACCGCGAGGUUAAAGCCAAUCCCCACAAAUCUGUUCUCAGUUCGGGAUCGCAGUCUGCAACUCGACUGCGUGAAGCUGGAAUCGCUAGUAAUCGCGGAUCAGCAUGCCGCGGUGAAUACGUUCCCGGGCCUUGUACACACCGCCCGUCACACCACGAGAGUUUGUAACACCCGAAGUCGGUGAGUAACCAUGAGGGAGCCGAGCCGCCGAAGGUAGCACGGGUGAGCGGCAGUACAAUAAGGGCCUUGAUGGGGGGGGGCG
rnacentral:rRNA from 1 species